AUGAGAAUCAAGAUCCCCGACAGAGAUAGGCCUGGCAUUUACGACACCGCCGAUCUAUGGUUUGGCCCAAGUAACACGGAGGACGACGAGCACGAAGACCGCCUCAUCACGACACGUUAUGGCCGCCACCUCGUCGUGUCAUAUGUCACGAUGAGGGAAGGCCUGGAGGUCAAUGUUCGGGUCAGCAUCCGCCUCUUUGGUGGCGGCGAUGAUGCAUCUCACACCAUGGACGUGUACGGUCAGAUCACCGCGCAUAACCGGAUCUUCGAGGACGACAGUUUGCUCCUCUUCUACUAUGCGGAGGAGGAGAAGGUGCAGCUCACCCCUUCCGCUGGCGGCGAUGGCAGUGUGCACCUGCGGCAGAUGCAGCGGUACAAUGUUACGGUGCCCAUCAAUCCACAGCCAUUUCUUACGAUUAAGGUGAACUUGAAGGUGACAAGUCCGAGCAACGAGAGCGCUACCAUCGCCUUCAAGGGCGAUGUCGAGUUCCCUCUUGACAUGGCCCAACGUGUUCGGGCAAUCCGCACGGAGCACGGCGAGGUUCAAGUCCGUAUCUCGUACAAUUGA
rnacentral:rRNA from 1 species